AGCGAACGCUGGCGGCAGGCCUAACACAUGCAAGUCGAACGAACUCUUCGGAGUUAGUGGCGGUCGGGUGAGUAACACGUGGUAACGUGCCUUUAGGUUCGGAAUAACUCAGGGAAACUUGUGCUAAUACCGCUUGUGCCCUUCGGGGGAAAGAUUUUUCGCCUUUAGAGCGGCCCGCGUCUGAUUCGCUGGUUGGUGAGGUACAGGCGCACCAAGGCGACGAUCAUGAGCUGGUCGGAUAGGAUGAUCAGCCACAUUGGGACUGAGACACGGCCCAAACUCCGACGGGAGGCAGCAGUGGGGAAUAUUGCGCAAUGGGGGAUAGUCUGACGAAGCCAUGCGGCGUGAAUGAGGAAGGUGGUAGGAUUGUAAAAUUCUUUCAGCGGGGACGAUAAUGACGGUACCCGGAGAAGAAGCCCCGGCUAACUUCGUG
rnacentral:rRNA from 1 species